rnacentral:rRNA from 1 species
AUUGAACGCUGGCGGCAGGCCUAACACAUGCAAGUCGAACGAGUGGCGGACGGGUGAGUAAUGUCUGGGAAACUGCCUGAUGGAGGGGGAUAACUACUGGAAACGGUAGCUAAUAACGCAUACCACCCGAUGUGACCAGAUUGGAUGAGCUAGUAGGUGGGGUAACGGAUCAACUGGGCGACGAUCCCUAGCCGGUCUGAGAGGUUGACAAGCCAACCUGGAACUGAGACACGGUCCAGACUCCUACGGUAAGCAGCAGUGGGGAAUAUUGGCCAAUGGGCGCAAGCCUGAUGCAGCCAUGCCGCGUGUAUGAAGAAGGCCUUCGGGUUGUAAAGUACUUUCAGCGGGGAGGCGUGACCCGCAGAAGAAGCACCGGCUAACUCCGGGCCAGCAGCCGCGGUAAUAC